CUGGGAUGAUGCAGUUUAGCCAAAUCAGACACGAAUGUGCUCCAGAAGGCAUUGUCUUUUUAAGCCUGCAAUAUUUGCUUGGCUGAGUUGUUGUAAGUAAUGCAAUGACAUAGCUUUGCCUUCUGUUGAAGCGCAUCUCUGAUGAUAACAGCGAGAUCGGUUGCUAACUGACCAGA
rfam:Eucalyptus grandis cultivar BRASTZ1 unplaced genomic scaffold scaffold_8, whole genome shotgun sequence.